GUGGGGAAUAUUGGACAAUGGGCGAAAGCCUGAUCCAGCCAUGCCGCGUGUGUGAAGAAGGUCUUCGGAUUGUAAAGCACUUUAAGUUGGGAGGAAGGGCAGUAAGUUAAUACCUUGCUGUUUUGACGUUACCGACAGAAUAAGCACCGGCUAACUUCGUGCCAGCAGCCGCGUUAAUACGAAGGGUGCAAGCGUUAAUCGGAAUUACUGGGCGUAAAGCGCGCGUAGGUGGUUUUGUAAGUUGGAGGUGAAAUCCCCGGGCUCAACCUGGGAACUGCCUCCAAAACUGCAUGACUAGAGUACGGUAGAGGGUAGUGGAAUUUCCUGUGUAGCGGUGAAAUGCGUAGAUAUAGGAAGGAACACCAGUGGCGAAGGCGACUACCUGGACUGAUACUGACACUGAGGUGCGAAAGCGUGGGGAGCAAACAGGAUUAGAUACCCCAGUAGUCC
rnacentral:rRNA from 1 species